rnacentral:lncRNA from 1 species
UUUUGAUAAUGAAUAUAAAUUCAAAUGCAAAAUAAACUAUUUUCGUUGAUGUGCAGGAAACAAUUUAUGAAUUGAUUUCAUUGGACCAUUUGAUUAAAGUUGUAAACUAUAUGGCUUGGAAUUAAUUUUGGACUAAAAAGAAAAUAGCAGCGACAAUAAUCGAUCAUUUGAUGAAAGAAAAUAUCAAAGCAAUUUAAAUGGGCUUUAGUGGGUAUGGAUCAUUGACUGAGUUUGAAGGUUAAAACAAGGAGCCCAUGCCAUAAAUUAAGGGGGUCGGUGGUGGAAUAAUAAAAGGGGGGUUACGAGUUUGAAAAGGGACGACGGUUACGAGAGGGAGAACAGCCCUUGGCUGUUUGGCACGCAGACCAAGAGAGAGAAAAAAAAACAGCAUUUUGGGGGUUGAGGAUUUUGAUCGCAAUGCUUGGCUAAUCUCCUGGCGUUUCGCCCCGGUAUAGACAUUGUAGGAAUUUUAGGGUUUCGACAUUUUGUAUUUGAUUUGAUUCCGUGACAAAUUAUGUUUGACUAUUUGAAGUUUAUGAUAAUUGUCUUACGUUUGUAUUGAAUUCACGAAUUGUCGAGUGAGUAAUGAAAUUUGACUUCGUGAAACGAAUAUGCGUAAUUAUGCCUUAUCAUAGAUAGGAUUUACAUGUUCUUGGUAAAGAAGUGCACUGCAGUCCGUUGUCUUUGACGUUGAUAGCUUUUGGCACCUAAGCCACGUGACACUAAAUGCGUUAAUUAUCAAAUCAAUUGAAUCAAGUUAAAACAUGUAGGAACCCUAGGUCUUGCAAUUGUCGAACCGGGUGUGAUCCGUAUUCUCAAUUCUUGUUUCAACUUUCUAGCACAUCUUUCAAUAUGAAUUGGGUAGAUGAUGAUCCGUUUAAUCAAAAGUGUUUUAGAUAAUACCCAUUGUCGGUUCAUUCCGAUAUAUUUUCAAAUCAAUUGAACAAAUAAAAUUAGCAAACUUCAUAAUUACUUUGUACAUUUUUGUAAAUAGUCUAACUAAUCGAACAGGUCGUGCAAUACUAACCACAUGCUCUUCGUGGA